rnacentral:sRNA from 1 species
GGUUAGUGCAGUGAAUAAGGUAGUAAGCGUAAGGUCGUUAAUGAACGAACAAUCUUGUGCCGAUGAGUCGUCGUUGACCUAGUGCGAUUCUGCCGAUAUAGAUUAGGCGCACUAACC